rnacentral:rRNA from 1 species
GUCUUUUUGAGUUAUUUUUAAAGUCUGACCUGCCCACUGAUAAUUAAUUAAAUGGCCGCAGUAUUUUAACUGUGCAAAGGUAGCAUAAUCAUUAGUCUUUUAAUUGAAGGCUGGAAUGAACGGUUGGACGAGGUAUAAGCUGUUUCAUAAAAAUUUAUGUUAGAAUUUUAUCUUUUAGUCAAAAAGCUAAAAUUUAAAUAAAAGACGAGAAGACCCUAUAAAUCUUUAUAUUUUUUUUUAUUCAAAUUUUUUUGAUUUUGUUUAUUUUUAUAAAAAAGAAUAUUUUGUUGGGGUGAUGUUAAAAUUUAAUGAACUUUUAAUUAUAAAAAACCAUUAAUUUAUGAAUUAUUGAUCCUUUAUUAUUGAUUAUAAGAUUAAGUUACUUUAGGGAUAACAGCGUAAUUUUUUUUGAGAGUUCUUAUCGAUAAAAAAGUUUGCGACCUCGAUGUUGGAUUAAGAUAUAUUUUUAGGUGUAGUCGCUUAAAUGUUAAGUCUGUUCGACUUUUAAAUUCUU